AAAAAGAAACGAAACUGAAAAUCAAACUGUGCUGAUGGCUUCUUCCUCUGCUUUGAAAUCUCAACCUCUCCAUAACUUUCAAUUACAUGGACCCAAAUGGGCCAUGAACCACACCAACAAUCAACGCAUCCGGAAACUCACCGAUUCCGCUCAGAGAUCUCCUCAUUGCUGCGAAACCGAUUCCGAUGUUAUUUGGAAGAAGAACACAGUGCGGGAAGCUCCUCCGUGUAACGGAGCUUCUUCCGGCUCCUCUCGAGAUCUUAGGAUUGGAAAAUCGGGGAAGAAAGUCAUCAACGGGUCUGGUGUUUCGGUUGCUUCAGAGAAGGAAAUAAUCCACGAUUCUGGUGUUUCGGUUAUUCCGAUAGAGGGUAGAUCGAAGAUCUAUAUACGCCUGCGAGCGAAGACUCAGAAAUCUGUUGUUGAGGUUCAGGAAACUGGAAAUCAGAGCUUGAGUGUGGAAGACGUUGAGGAAUUUGUUCCUAAGACUUGGAAUCUGAGGCCUAGGAAGGCGAUUACUAACCCGCAGAAUCAAAAUGGAGGCGGGCCUAAGAUCGUAGCUUCGGCUCUCGAGAACAAAGCUCAGAGGCCGGAUUCGAGCCGGGCUAGAAAUGCAACUGAACCGAAGGCGGCUGAGAAGAAGGCGAAGAAACAGAAGUUCUCGAUUUCGCUAACUAGAGAAGAGAUUGAUGACGAUAUCUUCGCUAUGACCGGUUCGAAGGCCUCUAGAAAGCCAAAAAAGCGACCCAAGAAUGUUCAGAAACAACUCGAUUGCUUGUUUCCUGGUAUGUGGUUAGAUUUGGUAAGGCCUGAUUGCUACAAAGUCCCUGAUCCUCCUUUGAAGGGUUAGAUGGGGGUGCUGCUAAAACUGUGAUUUUGGAGGGUGGGAAUAAGGAUGACUGCUAAACACCUUUUUUGCAGUUGUAGAAUGAGCUUGUAGAGAUGAAAGGGUAACGAAUGAGUCUUGUUCUUGUGCCUUUUUGUCUAAUUUGCGAUGAGUUUCCUGCAGAUUAUAAUGUGCCAUCAGAACAAUAAAGAUUCUGAAAUGGAUAUUGAUUUUCCCUUGGGAUGUGAUUCAAACUCGAAACUUCUCGAUGCUGCUCAGUAGCUUCCUGGUUGGUCCUAGCUGGAUUCUGGUAUAAGAUCGCAUGCCCCAUAGUACUGUCCAUUACAGAAAACGCCAAAACAUAGAACCAGAUGAAAAUGGCACUCAGCAGCAGCCUCGAAUGUUUUUUGCUACCAACAUGUAUGUUAUUGGGGAGCUUUAAAACUAUAUCGUUGUGGUCGGCAAUGGGAUUUUAUUUUUGAACUAUCAUCCUGAAAUUAGGAGUAUUUAGAUGAUGAUGCAUUUUCUUUUUGACAAAUGAUGUGGAGAAGAGUGGCUAGUAAUGUAUGAAGUUUAGGUCAUGUGGUUUCCGCUUAAAAAGUGGUCCAGCUUUCAACUUUUUACUGUUGUGUUUUCCUUUGUAGAUCAAAGGAUUU